rnacentral:rRNA from 1 species
CCUACGGGUGGCUGCAGUGGGGAAUCUUGCGCAAUGGGCGAAAGCCUGACGCAGCGACGCCGCGUGAGCGAUGAAGGCCUUCGGGUUGUAAAGCUCUGUGGGGAGAGAAGAAUAAGGGUUGGCUAACAUCCAACCUGAUGACGGUAUCUCCUUAGCAAGCACCGGCUAACUCUGUGCCAGCAGCCGCGGUACGACAGAGGGUGCAAACGUUGUUCGGAAUCACUUGUCGUAGGCUUCGCAAGGGCGGUGUGAAAUCCCACGGCUCAACCAUGGAAGUGCAUUCGAAACUGCCAGACUAGAGUCCUGGAGAGGAAGGCGGAAUACUCGGUGUAGAGGUGAAAUUCGUAGAUAUCGAGUGGAACACCGGUGGCGAAGGCGGCCUUCUGGACAGUGACUGACGCUGAAACGCGAAAGCGUGGGGAGCAAACAGGAUUAGAUACCCGAGUAGUC